rnacentral:rRNA from 1 species
AGGAUGAACGCUGGCGGCGUGCUUAACACAUGCAAGUCGAACGAUGAAGCCGGAGCUUGCUCUGGUGGAUUAGUGGCGAACGGGUGAGUAACACGUGAGUAACCUGCCCUUGACUCUGGGAUAAGCGUUGGAGACGACGUCUAAUACCGGAUACGACGCGCGAAGGCAUCUUCUGCGCGUGGAAAGAAUUUCGGUCAAGGAUGGACUCGCGGCCUAUCAGCUAGUUGGUGAGGUAACGGCCCACCAAGGCGACGACGGGUAGCCGGCCUGAGAGGGUGACCGGCCACACUGGGACUGAGACACGGCCCAGACUCCUACGGGAGCAGCAGUGGGAAUAUUGCACAAUGGGCGCAAGCCUGAUGCAGCAACGCCGCGUGAGGGACGACGGCCGUUCGGGUUACGUAAACCUUCGUUUUUAAGUAGGGAAGUAAGCGGAAAGUUGAACGGUACCGUGACAAGAAAAACGCACCGGCUAACGUACGUGACCAGCCAGCCGC